rnacentral:rRNA from 1 species
AUGAAUGUGGUGUCUUCGGCCGGGAUGGCAUCCGUCGUCUCCGGGACGGACGACGACGACGACGCCGGCGGGGAGGCCAGCGCCGAGCUUCUUGGGCUCGAUCUUGGAGGCGAAGCCCCGGAGGCGCGUGGGCGGCCUCCUGUCGCCGGCGCCGCCCGGCAGCUUGGACGGCCGCGAGUACGCCGUCGAGUUCAUCUCGGCCUGCCUAGCUCCUCCUCCGCGGGACGCGUCGCGUCGGGGAUCUACCGGCGCAUAAACAGCGGGGCACACGCGCGAGCGCAGAGGAAGAAAGAAAGGAGACAGCGAGGGAGGAGAGGGGUGGCCUGGACUCCGUGA